rnacentral:rRNA from 1 species
AUUGAACGCUGGCGGCAUGCCUUACACAUGCAAGUCGAACGGUAACAGGUCUUCGGAUGCUGACGAGUGGCGAACGGGUGAGUAAUACAUCGGAACGUGCCUAGUAGUGGGGGAUAACUACUCGAAAGAGUGGCUAAUACCGCAUGAGAUCUACGGAUGAAAGCAGGGGAUCGCAAGACCUUGUGCUACUAGAGCGGCCGAGGGCAGAUUAGGUAGUUGGUGGGAUAAAAGCUUACCAAGCCGACGAUCUGUAGCUGGUCGGAGAGGACGAUCAGCCACACUGGGACUGAGACACGGCCCAGACUCCUACGGGAGGCAGCAGUGGGGAAUUUUGGACAAUGGGCGCAAGCCUGAUCCAGCAAUGCCGCGUGCAGGAUGAAGGCCUUCGGGUUGUAAACUGCUUUUGUACGGAACGAAAAGCCCUGGGUUAAUACCCUGGGGUCAUGACGGUACCGUAAGAAUAAGCACCGGCUAACUACGUGCCAGCCGCCGCCGUAAUAC